rnacentral:rRNA from 1 species
GGUUAAGCGACUAAGCGUACACGGUGGAUGCCCUGGCAGUCAGAGGCGAUGAAGGACGUGCUAAUCUGCGAUAAGCGUCGGUAAGGUGAUAUGAACCGUUAUAACCGGCGAUUUCCGAAUGGGGAAACCCAGUGUGAUUCGUCACACUAUCAUUAACUGAAUCCAUAGGUUAAUGAGGCGAACCGGGGGAACUGAAACAUCUAAGUACCCCGAGGAAAAGAAAUCAACCGAGAUUCCCCCAGUAGCGGCGAGCGAACGGGGAGCAGCCCAGAGCCUGAAUCAGUGUGUGUGUUAGUGGAAGCGUCUGGAAAGGCGCGCGAUACAGGGUGACAGCCCCGUACACAAAAAUGCACAUGCUGUGAGCUCGAUGAGUAGGGCGGGACACGUGGUAUCCUGUCUGAAUAUGGGGGGACCAUCCUCCAAGGCUAAAUACUCCUGACUGACCGAUAGUGAACCAGUACCGUGAGGGAAAGGCGAAAAGAACCCCGGCGAGGGGAGUGAAAAAGAACCUGAAACCGUGUACGUACAAGCAGUGGGAGCACGCUUAGGCGUGUGACUGCGUACCUUUUGUAUAAUGGGUCAGCGACUUAUAUUCUGUAGCAAGGUUAACCGAAUAGGGGAGCCGAAGGGAAACCGAGUCUUAACUGGGCGUUAAGUUGCAGGGUAUAGACCCGAAACCCGGUGAUCUAGCCAUGGGCAGGUUGAAGGUUGGGUAACACUAACUGGAGGACCGAACCGACUAAUGUUGAAAAAUUAGCGGAUGACUUGUGGCUGGGGGUGAAAGGCCAAUCAAACCGGGAGAUAGCUGGUUCUCCCCGAAAGCUAUUUAGGUAGCGCCUCGUGAAUUCAUCUCCGGGGGUAGAGCACUGUUUCGGCAAGGGGGUCAUCCCGACUUACCAACCCGAUGCAAACUGCGAAUACCGGAGAAUGUUAUCACGGGAGACACACGGCGGGUGCUAACGUCCGUCGUGAAGAGGGAAACAACCCAGACCGCCAGCUAAGGUCCCAAAGUCAUGGUUAAGUGGGAAACGAUGUGGGAAGGCCCAGACAGCCAGGAUGUUGGCUUAGAAGCAGCCAUCAUUUAAAGAAAGCGUAAUAGCUCACUGGUCGAGUCGGCCUGCGCGGAAGAUGUAACGGGGCUAAACCAUGCACCGAAGCUGCGGCAGCGACGCUUAUGCGUUGUUGGGUAGGGGAGCGUUCUGUAAGCCUGUGAAGGUGUACUGUGAGGUAUGCUGGAGGUAUCAGAAGUGCGAAUGCUGACAUAAGUAACGAUAAAGCGGGUGAAAAGCCCGCUCGCCGGAAGACCAAGGGUUCCUGUCCAACGUUAAUCGGGGCAGGGUGAGUCGACCCCUAAGGCGAGGCCGAAAGGCGUAGUCGAUGGGAAACAGGUUAAUAUUCCUGUACUUGGUGUUACUGCGAAGGGGGGACGGAGAAGGCUAUGUUGGCCGGGCGACGGUUGUCCCGGUUUAAGCGUGUAGGCUGGUUUUCCAGGCAAAUCCGGAAAAUCAAGGCUGAGGCGUGAUGACGAGGCACUACGGUGCUGAAGCAACAAAUGCCCUGCUUCCAGGAAAAGCCUCUAAGCAUCAGGUAACAUCAAAUCGUACCCCAAACCGACACAGGUGGUCAGGUAGAGAAUACCAAGGCGCUUGAGAGAACUCGGGUGAAGGAACUAGGCAAAAUGGUGCCGUAACUUCGGGAGAAGGCACGCUGAUAUGUAGGUGAAGCGACUUGCUCGUGGAGCUGAAAUCAGUCGAAGAUACCAGCUGGCUGCAACUGUUUAUUAAAAACACAGCACUGUGCAAACACGAAAGUGGACGUAUACGGUGUGACGCCUGCCCGGUGCCGGAAGGUUAAUUGAUGGGGUCAGCGCAAGCGAAGCUCUUGAUCGAAGCCCCGGUAAACGGCGGCCGUAACUAUAACGGUCCUAAGGUAGCGAAAUUCCUUGUCGGGUAAGUUCCGACCUGCACGAAUGGCGUAAUGAUGGCCAGGCUGUCUCCACCCGAGACUCAGUGAAAUUGAACUCGCUGUGAAGAUGCAGUGUACCCGCGGCAAGACGGAAAGACCCCGUGAACCUUUACUAUAGCUUGACACUGAACAUUGAGCCUUGAUGUGUAGGAUAGGUGGGAGGCUUUGAAGUGUGGACGCCAGUCUGCAUGGAGCCGACCUUGAAAUACCACCCUUUAAUGUUUGAUGUUCUAACGUGGACCCGUAAUCCGGGUUGCGGACAGUGUCUGGUGGGUAGUUUGACUGGGGCGGUCUCCUCCUAAAGAGUAACGGAGGAGCACGAAGGUUGGCUAAUCCUGGUCGGACAUCAGGAGGUUAGUGCAAUGGCAUAAGCCAGCUUGACUGCGAGCGUGACGGCGCGAGCAGGUGCGAAAGCAGGUCAUAGUGAUCCGGUGGUUCUGAAUGGAAGGGCCAUCGCUCAACGGAUAAAAGGUACUCCGGGGAUAACAGGCUGAUACCGCCCAAGAGUUCAUAUCGACGGCGGUGUUUGGCACCUCGAUGUCGGCUCAUCACAUCCUGGGGCUGAAGUAGGUCCCAAGGGUAUGGCUGUUCGCCAUUUAAAGUGGUACGCGAGCUGGGUUUAGAACGUCGUGAGACAGUUCGGUCCCUAUCUGCCGUGGGCGCUGGAGAACUGAGGGGGGCUGCUCCUAGUACGAGAGGACCGGAGUGGACGCAUCACUGGUGUUCGGGUUGUCAUGCCAAUGGCACUGCCCGGUAGCUAAAUGCGGAAGAGAUAAGUGCUGAAAGCAUCUAAGCACGAAACUUGCCCCGAGAUGAGUUCUCCCUGACUCCUUGAGAGUCCUGAAGGAACGUUGAAGACGACGACGUUGAUAGGCCGGGUGUGUAAGCGCAGCGAUGCGUUGAGCUAACCGGUACUAAUGAACCGUGAGGCUUAACCUU